UACGUAGGGUGCAAGCGUUGUCCGGAAUUAUUGGGCGUAAAGAGCUCGUAGGCGGUUUGUUGCGUCGGCUGUGAAAACCUGAGGCUCAACCUCAGGCCUGCAGUCGAUACGAGCAGACUAGAGUGUUGCAGGGGAGACUGGAAUUCCUGGUGUAGCGGUGAAAUGCGCAGAUAUCAGGAGGAACACCGGUGGCGAAGGCGGGUCUCUGGGCCACUACUGACGCUGAGAAGCGAAAGCAUGGGGAGCGAACAGG
rnacentral:rRNA from 1 species